rfam:Triticum urartu cultivar G1812 contig1450079, whole genome shotgun sequence.
CUGCUACUCCCUCCGAUCCGAAUUACUCAUCGCAAAAAUGGAUGUAUCUAGAUGUAUUUUAGUUCUAAAUACAUCCAUUUCUAUGAUGAGUAAUUUGGAACGGAGGGAGUAGAAA